UUGAACCUCGAUAUCUUUUGCCAUCAUUUUGAAGGUGAUGGCAGGCGAUGAGCUGGACUGAGGCGGUACAUUUAUCAAACGGUUGCUUAGAUGUCCCAAGGUCACCUCAGUCAGGACGGAAACCUGGAGUGGAAUAAAAGGGCAAAAGUCGACUAUUUAAUUUGGUUUCCAGACCAUCUACCCUUUUGACUCUGGUAAUCGGAGUUUAAGGCAAGACGUCGCAGAAAAGUGACCA
rnacentral:ncRNA from 1 species